AUGAUUCGGCUUUAUCUUGUCCCAAACCUUUCUAAAUGUUUUGACAGUGUGACAGUGAUCAUUCGUGACAAGGACAUAGAUGUGUCCAUUGGAGAUGUUCGUUUGGUGAUUUUGGGCCAUGAGAUUUCGGGAAGAAAGUUCCUGUGGCCUAUUUUCAGACAGCUGCCGUUGGACGACAAAGCUGAAGGAGUUUUAGUUGUUAAUUUGGAUUAUGAGGAAGAGACGGGAGCAGCAUCAACAGUCAAGGUCAACGGCCAAGAGGUCACCGUCAGCAGAUCCAGUGCUGUUGACUACAGUGUCCCGGCGCCUGUGACUGUGGACUGCUGGCUCCUGUCUGCACAGGAAGCCUUUCAGAGACCAAGCAGCGACUUCUACAACUGAUAUUUAAACAUCAAGUCAAAAACAACACAUGUGCUCAAUAAAAAGCACAUGUGCUUUUUAUUGACAUAUAAUUGCUCCAAACACAUCAAAUAAAAACAAAACUAUUACAGUGAUUUGUCAUUUUUUGACUAGUGACCACUUGACCUAUUCGCUCUGUCUACAUGUACCACUGCUUCUGGUAUUUGUGUAAUUAGGGCUGCAAGUAACCAUUAUUUUGGCAAUCGAUUAAUCUACCAAUUAUUUUUAUGAUUAAUCGAUUAAUCGCUUGGCUAGGAAACGUGUAUGAAAAUGUUUUUUUUUUAAAUGUUUAUCACAUCAAGUUAAAGUAACGCAGCUUGAGGAUGUUGAUGGAGUAAACUUAAAUUGAAUGUUUGUUCGAGGCGCUUAGUGCUAAUUCUGCUUUCUGAUUGGAUGAGACACAGACAGAUAUUUACGAAAUUUUCAAUGUACAAAACACUACAGACCCUAACUUUAAAAGUUUUCAUGUCAUUUUGCUAGAAAAUGAUUAAUCGAUUACUAAAAUAGUUGUCGACUAUUUCAAUGUAGUGUAAUGUAACAUUAGCAAAAAGACCCACAUUUAUAAUAAUAGUAUAUAGUAUGAAAUAAUCCACAUUUAUUUUCAGUCUCAUUUUCACUCACAUGCUCCUGUUAGAUGCACGUAUGUUUUCUUAUGUCUCCUAUGCCAUUUUCAUUUUUAGUCUAUUUGCUCUCAUUAGUCCAUUUAGUUGGUAAGUGCUGGUGCGCACCAGUCGGCUGCUCAAAUAAAGUGGACACUUACUGGAAGUGUAUCCAGGGUUCUUUUCAAGCCUUUGGAUUACAGUUUGAAUUCAUAUAAGCAAUAAAAAGAGUAAUAAAGUGAAAUUCAACUUGAGCCAAUAUUUCGUCACCAAAGUAAAUGUUAAAUAGGCUACAAUGUGCUGUAAAAUCCUAAAAGUCACAUCAAAACUAAAGUUUUGAUGUGACUUAAAUUAUUAAAUUGGUAUGGAAAAGGAACUGUAUUCUGAACUGGGUCUCAACAACAUGGAGGGGUAUGUCUAAUUUUGGCUUACUAUGUUCCCUUUUCCUUGUUUGUGACCUCUGCAGGGCGCUUCCACAGCUUUGGUACAUCUGGUGGAGUUACAAAACACAGGCGCCCUGGUGCUCUACCAGGAUUGGCUGGAUUCGCUCCACAGGGGCCUCCUGGUCCUCAUGGUGUCCCGCCACAAAAAACAGGUAAAGGAAGUUAACAUAAAGAGUAGCAAGAGGACCACUAGUAUCCUGUAAAACUUAAUUGCUUUGUGUCAAUAGUUUUAAGGUCAAGGUCAACUUUAUUUCUUUAGCACACUUACAACAACCACAGCUGCCCAAAGUGCUUCACAU
ensembl:lncRNA